rnacentral:tRNA from 1 species
UAGCUCAGUCGGUAAAGAAUCUGCCUGCAAUGCAGGAGAUCCAGGUUCAAUUCCUGG